GCUGGGGUUUUUACAAACAUCGAUGGUAGAAGACGGCUAAAAAGAAGGCAGUGGAAGUGGAGAGGUCGGUCCUGCCUCAGGAGGCCACAGUGGGGUGAAGACAGUCACUACAAAUAUGUGAUGGUCCGCGUGUGUCAGUGAAGCCUAAAGUAGACUGAUAAACCAGCCUGUUAGACUGAGAUCCAAGCAGUUUGUCCUUAAUACUGGAUCUCAUUCUGUCCACUGGCUGCUGGGAUCUCUUUAUGCUUCCUACAGUCCAAAGACAUGUUUGACAUGUCCUGCAGCAGCUGAGAUAAGUUCCUGAAGUUAGCGUGUUUACACUGCACUCAUGUCACAGUUUAGAUAAUCUCACUGUUUAACAACCGAGCGUACAUCAGGAGAAUGAACGGCACAGGAGGCACAGAGAAUGAAAGGAACACACACUUUAUUUACAGUGAAGUAAUGUGAAAACACAACGGCUGAACUACACACAAGAUGCCUGAUGAUUUAACCAGUGAGACUCCACAAUAAAGUAACUAUAACUAAAGUCUGUAAGUCUGAAAAACUGUGAGCAAAAUCAAACUAACAUUUCAGUAGGAAUAAACUGGGAGCAAAAGCCAAAACUAUGAUCUCUGUGAACUACAACAAUACUAUGAUUAACCUGGAGCAGAGCUAUGAUAGAUGCUGUGUGCUGUAAAUUCACUCUAAACUAAGAGUCCAUGGAUUGAGCCUGAAGGAUGGAGAGUUCGAGGGCUGGGAACCCGAUACGGGGUAACAGCCCAUGCAGGAACCCAGAGGUGUGAGGGGUAAGUGAAGGGUUAGAAGGGUACGGGAGCCGGGGAGCUCAGAGUCACUGCAAUGAAGGGAAACAGAUGUCAAAGAGAGCUCCAGAGGCCAACCCAGAUUGUGCUGGUCUUUAAAGCCAGCAGCCAAAUUACAUCCAGGUACUGUCUGUCUGUGAUGACGCGGCGACUCCACCCAGAGGUGGAAUCACUGGCGCUGUGGAAAAAGCCGGCACUCACCCGGACCAUGACAAGGAGGAGUUUCUAUUACAAUGUAACUCUGAGAUCAGCAACUUUCCUGUAAACUUAUCAAAUUUCCACAAACAGAUCCUUUGAUUAUGGAAAAUGAUAUUUAUACACCACUCGUCUCCACAUGUCCUCCCUUUGGAACAAUAGUAUCGCUGAAACUAGUUUGAGGGUGAUGCAUUGUUUGUGACUGAUUCACUGAACUCCGUGUUUUUUAAUCAAAUAUAAGUUGCACACAAAAAGAUUACAGGCAGGCGUCUUAUGCCAUCCCACUGGCACCAAGGCAGUUAAUCUGUAACAGCACAUUACAUUCAGAUGUCAAACCAGUGAUGCCAAACUUAGCACUUGGCAGCUGUAAUUUAAAUGAUGGUUAUUUAGGCAACAUGUAAAUAAACUGUCUUCCAUCAUUUUGACUCAUCAUUUGCAAGCUUUUAAUGAGGAUCAGUCGAUUAUGGAAAAGGCUUUUUCUAAAUGUUUUUGGUUCAUUUCUCCAAAAAUUAAAGAAGCAUGUUUAAAGAUAAUUAUAUUUACCCAGUGGCAGUGUUUCUAAAAACAAGACUAUACACAGCUGCUUAUCACUCAAGUUUGACAGCAUCCCUCAUUCUGAUAUAUCUCAUGUUAUUUACUACAUUGAUAAGUUAAAGCCAUCUGUCUCUGAUAUGAUUGGCACUGUUAUUCUCUCAGGUUCUGAUUUAAGCCUCCUGUGUCUUUUGGCCUCUGCCUCUUAUUUUGUUUACCUUGCAUUAUUUUUUAUUCUGUGAAAAUUAGUUUAAAAACAAAUGUUUUCCAACACAGUUCUCUUUGGUGACAUCUGGUGGACAAAAUAUGAAGAGCAGUUUGCAUCUAAAAUAUGAACAUGAACUGCUUCAUUAUGAUUAACUGUGCAGAGCUGAGCUCACAGCUUCUGUUUAACAUCGUGUGACAGUUAUGAGAUCAGGUUACUGUUCAUGUUCCAUUUUUUUCAUAAAUAAUUUGAUGAAUAAACCUUCCUUAGUUAAACGUA